UGAGCAAUCUGCCCUUCUCUUCGGAAUAAGCGUGGGAAACCGCGUCUAAUGCCGAAUACGACCUCCUUUCACAUGAUCGGAGGUGGAAAGCUCCGGCGGAGAAGGAUGAGCUCGCGGCCUAUCAGCUAGUUGGUGUGGGUAAUGGCCCACCAAGGCGACGACGGGUAGCCGGCCUGAGAGGGCGACCGGCCACACUGGGACUGAGACACGGCCCAGACCUCCGUACGGGAGGNAG
rnacentral:rRNA from 1 species